GCUUUGGAAGAAACCCUGAAGUAAACGUGAGAAGAUUCUUUUUUAAAACAUGAAAAACAAACAAAAAAGUCAAGCAAGAGGUUUUGUGGCAGUAGACUAAGCAUAGUUAUUUUUUAAGGAACAAAAUUAAGCAUUCAACCUGUGGCAAAUUUAUGCUAUCUCCUUGAAUUAUGUUGCUCACAAAGAAAAAGGUUUGAUAAAACACCAUUAGAACUGAAACUGG
rnacentral:lncRNA from 1 species